rnacentral:lncRNA from 1 species
UCGUGUGAAUUGUAAGCCAUUCAAUUCAUCCAUAGAUGAUUGAAUUGGUCUGAUUUUUGAGUUGUAAUUUGUCACUCUAAGCUUUUAAGCAUGAGUGUGUGUUUACUUGAUUGAAGCUUUUAAUAUGAUUGAAUUGGUCUGAUUUUUGAGUUGUAAUUUGUCACUCUAAGCUUUUAAGCAUGAGUGUGUGUUUACUUGAUUGAAGCUUUUAAGUAAGAUCAAGUAUGUGUCUUUGAAGAGUGUCUUCUUUUUU